GUGUCAGCAGCCGCGGUAAUACGUAGGGUGCGAGCGUUAAUCGGAAUUACUGGGCGUAAAGCGUGCGCAGGCGGCUUUGCAAGACAGAUGUGAAAUCCCCGGGCUCAACCUGGGAACUGCAUUUGUGACUGCAAGGCUAGAGUACGGCAGAGGGGGAUGGAAUUCCGCGUGUAGCAGUGAAAUGCGUAGAUAUGCGGAGGAACACCGAUGGCGAAGGCAAUCCCCUGGGAUAACACUGAUGCUCAUGCACGAAAGCGUGGGGAGCAAACAGGAUUAGAAACCCGAGUAGUCC
rnacentral:rRNA from 1 species